UACGUAGGCAGCAAGCGUUGUUCGGAAUUACUGGGCGUAAAGAGUGUGUAGGCGGUGUUCUAAGUCUGUUGUGAAAUCUCCCGGCUUAACUGGGAGGGUGCGGCGGAAACUGGAAUGCUUGAGGGUGGGAGAGGUAAGCGGAAUUCCUGGUGUAGCGGUGAAAUGCGUAGAUAUCAGGAGGAACACCUGUGGUGUAGACAGCUUACUGGACCACUUCUGACGCUGAGACACGAAAGCGUGGGUAGCAAACAGG
rnacentral:rRNA from 1 species